GCCAGGUAGAGCUGCUAUAAUUAAAGCACAAAUAGCAAAAGAUUCUGGUAGCUAUUGUAUUUCCUGAUAUUGUUGAGUUUGGAACAGCUACUGGUAGAUUUAUUGCUCUUUUUAUGAAAUAUAAAUUCAUCAAUGAAAAACUGUAUUGUACUCUAAUUGCACCUCCAAAUUCUCCUUGUCAAAGUGUGCACAAUUCUUGAGAUACAUAUUUUGGAAGAAUUUUUUGAGUUGGAUUCCUGUGUUUUAAAAACUUAAGUUCAGCAGUAGUUUUUCAGAAAAAUUGUCUACAGACAUGUUUUCUCUAUCCUAUAUAUUGCCCCAAGGACAUGUGCAUGUUGUGGGAAGAUGUCUGUAUAUGGUGUUUGUAUGCAAAUUAGUUGUUCAUAUUCACUGGUUUGCCUUUUAUGUAGCAGUUGGAGGACCAAGUGGUG
rnacentral:misc_RNA from 1 species